rnacentral:rRNA from 1 species
CUACGGGCUGCACCAGUUAGGCAUAAUCUACAAUGCACGCAAGUGUGAUAGUUUGAGCCAGAGUGCGUUUCAUUUGAAACGCUUUUGCCAAAUGUAAAAAGUUUGGCGAAUAAGGACUGGGUAAGACGAGUGCCAGCCGCCGCGGUAAUACUCGCGGUCCAAGUCGCAGCCAUUUUUAUUGGGUCUAAAACAUCCGUAGCUUGUUUGGUAAGUCUCUUGUGAAAUUUUAUGUCUCAAACAUAAAGCGUGCAAGAGGUACUGCCAGGCUAGAGACUGGGAGACGUAAGAAGUACGUUUGAAGUAGUGGUAAAAUAUUUUAAUCUCAAGCGGACUUACAAGAGCGAAGGCAUCUUACGAGAACAGUUCUGACAGUAAGGGAUGAAGGCUAGGGGCGCAAAACGGAUUAGAUACCCUGGUAGUC